GCAGUCGUGGCCGAGUGGUUAAGGCGUCUGACUAGAAAUUAGAUUCCCUCUGGGAGCGUAGGUUCGAGUCCUACCGACUGCG
rfam:Habropoda laboriosa contig5236, whole genome shotgun sequence.